CCAGGGAGUGUCCUCCAAACCCUAGAUUUCACAUAAAACUCACAUAUUGAAGCCCUUAAUCUGCUCUAAAUCGAGUUUCAAACACGGAUUAGUGAUCACCUUGUUGCGGGGAUCAAAAGUUUGACGCUUGACAAGCUAGGUGGGAGCUUGUGGAUGAAGCGGGUCAAACGAAUCAAGAACGGAAGGAAAAGCAUGGCAUGGAUGCGAGGUACUUUUGGAUGCCGGAAGACGAUCAAGCUCAACGAGGAACCGAACACGAUAAAGAUACACGCUUCCGCACUUUGCAUCGUCAUUAAUUUUAAACGACGAAUCUGAUCACGUUAUGUCAAAU